AUUAUACUAAAUUCCCGUAGCAAUGAGCGGGUUUCAUCUGGUUUACGCCUCGUUGCUGCCAGACAAGCAGGGGGCACUGGGCAGAGCCGCACAGGGAAGUGUAAGACCGAAGAAGGAACAAACUCCUCUCGAUUCUCAAAGCCACCGCCGAUGGCCGUCGGCGACGACGCCGCUCCGGCGGCGACCAAGAUCUCCAUCUCCGGCGCGGCUCUCGCGGCGCUCCUCCAGCGCUGCGGUAUGGCCGACGGCGACUGCGACGGCCUCCUCUCCGGGCGCGCCUCAACCACCCCGGCUCCGCCCCCUUCCCUCUCCGACUACGACGACCACGCGCCGGCCCAGUCCGCCCCCGCCAUCUCCCUCUCCAUCUCCGGCCAUUCCUCCCUCUCCCGCCCCUCCUCCCUCUCCGAUCCCCUCGGUCGCUUCCACCCCUCCGCCUCCGCCGCCGCCGCCGGCCCCGCCUCGAUCGGCUUCUUCUCCUCCCGCCGCCGCACCGCCCUCCGCCCCUCCAUGCGCGAGCUCUCCCUCGCCCACUCCCUCUCCAAAUCCCUCGCGCUCGCCCACCCCCUCCUCUUCCUCCUCGUCUCCCCUUCCUCCCCCAACCUCUCUACCCACUCCUACGACCACCGCGCCUUCCUCCUCAUCGGCUCCCGCCUCGUCCCGACCUCGCUCCAUGUCGUCAAUGUCGGCCCCGUCUUCCGGGACCAGUACCACUCCUUCGCUCCCGACUCUCCGAUGCCGUGGCUGCCGCUUGCACAGCACUCCUCGUCGUCGUCGGCGGCAGCAGGCGACGCGCACACCAUUGGGGAGCAGAAUGCGGUGGAUGGGGUGGUGGAUGGGUUCGGGCUAGGGAAGCUGCAGGGGAUCCUGGGCUCCGUGGCGGGGCAGGCGGCGGAGAUGGAUGGCAUGUAUGCAGGAAUGCUCAGGAGGCUGGAGAAGCUUGCCAGGGAGGUGGAGAAGAGCAAUCUCCUUGUGCUUAAGCAGGAAAAUCGGAACCUGCUGUUGAGGUUCAGAUAUGCAGGGUUGGAAUAGCGCCAAUGUUUUAUCGGUCUUAGCAAGGUAAAAACAUACCUUCUCCGACUGGUUGGGAGAUAGAUGGCAAGUACCUUGAUACUACAGAAAAGGACGUAAAAAGCAAUUCGAGAGGUUUAAGCGUGAUUUUGAUGAGUAUGGUGUUAAUCUAAUGUGUGAUUCCUGGACUCGACUGACGGGUAUGACUAUCAUCAACUUUUUGAUAUAUUGCAAUGGAAUAAUGUUUCUUCACAAGUCCAUUGAUGCGACGGGCCAAAGCUAGGAUGCUAACUUCAUAUAGAAGGUGACAAUUUUGAUGCAAGAAAUUUACGUCAUAUGUUAUCAAGUUUCGGGUGAUGGACUUAUUUUUAUUUUGUGAUUUACUAAUGUAGGAGAUAAGGAAUGUGGUAAACGAAGUACAUCCUCAACAUGUCGUGUAGUUUAUCAUUGACAAUGGGUCAAUUUACAAGAAGGCUUGCAUACUACUGCAGCAAGAGUACCCAACUAUUGUGUGGCAACCUUGCAUGGCUCACACAAUUAAUUUGAUGCUUAAGGAUGUUGAAAAAAAAUGCCAAACCAUGAUAUGGUGAUUGAGAGUGCAAAGAAAAUUUGUAGAUGUUUUGUAGCUACGGCAUUGAACCCUUGGACGCACUGCGCAUACAGUGUGACCGUCUUCCAAGACCUCCGUCAGGCCUUCGAGUGGAUGAUGAACAUGGACAUGGCCGCUGCCGUUUUGUUGGAGGUUGAGAUGUAUCGGCGUAAGAGUGACGAAUUUGGGAGGACGCUUGCAAGAAAGAUCUAACGCUUGCAAGAAAGACCUCCGUUUUGUUUGAUGUAUGCUUUUGAUAAUGCAAUAUCAAAAGUCCUAAUGCUUUCGACGUAUCUAGAAUUAUAAAAUGACAUGUUAGUCGGCAUUUGCAGCACAAUGGUGGUCUAUGUUUACAUCAGACACGCCGAAUUUGAAGAAAUUUGUGUUGCGUUUGGUUGGUCAGUAUAACUCUUCAAGUUAAUAUGAUCGGAAUUGUAGCAUAUUUGCAUUCGUACAGACAAAGAUUCGUUACAAAGUUACACACAGCAAGCUCAACAAGCUUGUCUAUGUCAAAUAUAACCUUCGCAGUCGAAAUCAACAAACAAAUGCCAAGUUAGGAAGGACGAUGAUGAUCCCUUUCAAAGUCCAGCGGACCUAUCAUUCUACGACACUAACAAUUAAAUUAGAGACCGAAUGGACAAUGUUUGGUCCAAUUCUUGCCCUGAACUAGAUGAAGACUCAACUGAGAGUGAAUCCCCCAUACCUAGUCCACCUGUAGCCAACCUAGUGGACUUGACUGACCUUCGCAAGACCACAAGGGCGUCUAUUAUUGCUGAGUAGGCUGAUAUGAAUAUGUGACAGUCAUAUUGGAAAAAGAAAGACUCAAUAGCGGCCAAAACCACCUCCAUCUAAAAAAGUGAAGGCCAAAGGUUCAUCAACACGGCCGAGGAGCAUUGAUAGCAACGAAGAGACUCAAGGGAGCCCAGACUACCAAUAGUCCAAUGAUAGUAGCUUAAGAAUUGAUACAAAUGACGGAGACAAUGGUGGUCAAGGAGGCCAAGGCGCCACUGAUGCGCCUUCUAGUGGUCACACAACAAUGUCAGAUGAGGCUAACUUCACUUACGCUACUAAGGACAAGGAUCAUGGUGUUCCAAGUUCUCAACGAACUAACGUUACUCGAGAGGGUGACAACAGCAACAACAGUUUUACACACCAUAACAUAGCUAUAGCUUAUCCAAUAUCUCUAGCUGUUGACGAGAAACACAGUGGCUUGGGAGAUCUGCUUAACUCCAGUGCAGGUGCAAAGCUUGCCUCGAGUGUGCUAAGGGCGUGCCAGCUGGUUUGAUUCUGCAACCAGCAAGGAAACAACAAGCAAAGUUGCCGAUAGCUGAUCGGCUGAUAGGCCGAUGACAUAUCGUUAGUGAUCCUAGCUGAUAUAGUUGGACCAGAUCGGCUAUGGAUUGAUGUAUGAAUUAAGCAUAAACCUUAAAUAUGCCUCAUCGGCUGUAGUAUCAUCAAAUGAGUUUGUCAAGUAUGAGUCGGACGAUACUAUAUGAAUAGUCGAUGAAACAAUAUUUAGAACAAGAUAGAUAGAUAAAGAUAAUAUACCAGCUAAUACUCUAGUACAAACUUAUAUAAACAAAUCAAUCUAUAUAAACAUAUCAAAUCAUGAUCAGUUAAUAAUUUAGAUAACCCAACCGAUACUGAUCUAACUUGAUAUGGUUAUAUAGGAUGAUCUAUCUAUAUAAAUGGCAAAUAUACAUAAAACUAGUACAAGCAGCAUGUAUAUUAGAUAAGAUCGGCUGAAACUCCGAUACUAUCUCUAAUUAUGAUUAAUUCUAGGUUAGUUUUUAGGGUUCUAAACAAGACUAGGGAUGAUGUAUCUCAAAGUAAGUAGAGAAAUCUAAAGUCUAAACAAUCAAGGAAUUAACCACUUUUUAAGAUUGUAGAUGCCUUAGUUAAUCCAAUGCAAUUUAGUCGAUACUGGCAGGAACCCUAAAGCGAGAUAUGACUAAAUUGA